rnacentral:siRNA from 1 species
GGGGUGUUAUUGGUUUAUGAUU